rnacentral:misc_RNA from 1 species
AUGAAGCGUACUUUAUAUUUUAGUAUACAAAAUUUUGUUAGUAGAUGCCAGAAUAGUAUAUGGAUAAUGUUAAGGAGAAGCAUGACUAAAUUCAGAAUACAAAUUUAGAACUUCAGGAAACUCUGUAUGGCAGCAUUUUAGAAACCUGAUAUGCCUGGUCAGGUCAGGUUAUAUGAGGAUUGGUCUAAGAAUGAAUGAAUUUUAAGUUUUACCUGUGCCAUAUAUAAUAAUCUGGCA